rnacentral:lncRNA from 1 species
CUUAUUAGAAACCUAGAAAAAGUGGAUAGUACUUAGGUCAUAGAUUUCAUCCUCCUAGAAAUGAGCAAAAGUCAUUUAAAUCCUCUGCUUGCUACACUGGCAUAGGUUCGCCCAUCAGCUGCUCGAAGCCUUUGCCUAGGUUGGUUGGUUUGCUUCCAGCCAUGAGUUUCCAGCCAUGAGGGCAAAGAACCAGGGAAAUAAAGGAGAGCACUUCGCUGAGGAAGAGUCAUCACACAGUAUCUGUGUGGGCUUCUAGAGCUAGCUCACCAUCUCCUUCAGUAACGCCCACGUCACAUGCCUCACCUUCUGAGCCACAAGCAUGCCAAAAGGACAGAGGUGACCAUCACCCAACUGUCCCUAACCUGUAUGUGAUGAGAGUCUGUACAAUACCUCGAUUUUUCUGCCCCUGCUCAGAGCACAGCAAUACUUGAAGUCCCCCACAGAAUAUGAGCCUAAAGGGGUUAUGAUAGAAAUAUUUUAACUCAGCUUUUAAACAUCUAAAGUGUAACAGCAGGUGACUGCAGUUUAUAAGCAGUAGGAAGUGCAAGAUUGUGCAUAGCAUUAGUGUGUAUCUCCCCAUCCAGUGACCCUCCCUCCAUUGUGAAAGGCUCCACAAGCUCUAGCAGAUGAUACAGACAUCUCGGGAAGCUCAGAAUCCUCCCUGCUCCCAGAAUCAUAGCCCCUGAGAUCACAAAACCAUAAUUAAAAUUUCUCAUAAGAAAAACUACUUUUGCACCAGGCUUUCUAACCCAGUGCUGAGUGGCCCCUUCUGGCCCUCUUGUAGAUCCAUCUUGCCUAGCAAAACCCCAGUUUGGGAGGAACACCCAAUUCACCCCACUGGUGGGAGAGCUUUGCCAGAUUCCAACCCCAAACUCAAAUGUAGGUGAGGCAUGAGGAUUUCAACUUGAUCCUAAGGUGAGAUUUGUGCAAGAUUUUAAUCCAGCCCUGUGUGUGCUGAUGUCUGGAAUAUCGUUCAGUGAGCGACAGUAGUACUUAAUGUUAGCCAGUAUUGAGUGGUAAAUGGUGUUAUUCCUGAAAAUGCACAUGGGAUUUUUACCUUAUGCUUUACCCAUUCUCUCAAGCACAGGAUAAAAUUUGUUUCAGGCUUCCGUCUCUGAAAUAUUCGGUUGCCCCUCACCCUUUCAAGAGUUGUAAAACUUCUAGACUGGGAGAGGGACGCUACAAGUCCCUGAGUGGUAGGGAGAAGUGGAAGGUGCGACCCAGGGUGGUUUCAAAGCUCAGGAGGGGACGCCACGUACAUCCUGGUUGCCCUGCCCCAAGCGCUGCUCUGUCCCGCUCCUCCAACUUGGCACUUUGUUUACAAGCUCAGCAGUUGUGUUUACAGAUCAUUUUCAUGUUCGUGCUUUAUAUUUCAUGUUUGAGACGGGCGGCCACUGUACAGAUAUUUAUUAUGCUUUCCAGACUUUCGGAAUAGAUUUUUUGAAUAAACAUGGAUUUUAUGAAGUGUAA